rnacentral:rRNA from 1 species
UACGGAGGGGGCUAGCGUUGUUCGGAAUCAUUGGGCGUAAAGGGCGCGUAGGCGGCCGAUCAAGUCGGAGGUGAAAUCCCUCGGCUCAACUGAGGAAUUGCCUUCGAUACUGUUCGGCUUGAGUCCUGGAGAGGGUAGCGGAAUUCCCGGUGUAGCGGUGAAAUGCGUAGAGACCGGGAAGAACACCAGUGGCGAAGGCGGCUACCUGGACAGGUACUGACGCUGAAGCACGAAGGUCAGGGGAGCAAACGGG